UACAGAGGGGGCAAGCGUUAUUCGGAAUUAUUGGGCGUAAAGGGCGCGUAGGCGGCUUGGCAAGUGGAUGGUGAAAUCCCUCGGCUUAACCGAGGAACUGCCGUCCAAACUGCUUCGCUUGAGACCGGGAGAGGUGAGUGGAAUUCCCAGUGUAGCGGUGAAAUGCGUGGAUAUUGGGAGGAACACCAGUGGCGAAGGCGGCUCACUGGACCGGUACUGACGCUGAUGCGCGAAAGCGUGGGGAGCAAACGGG
rnacentral:rRNA from 1 species